AGGACGAAUAAAUCCAGUUUUCGACUUCGCUUUGUGUUGAAGGGCAGAGAGUGUGAUGAAACUGGUCGAAACAGCCUGGUUGUGAGUAGGUGUGAGUUUCAUGACGUCAUCCUGCUGAUUACAACAGGCCUUCAGAUAACAGAUGGGAGAUCAACGCCUGCUGCUACAAUACAGCAUAGUUAAUGGUUUCAGAGUGAUUGAUCGCUGCUCAUCGAGCCGCUGUAAGGCAGAGGUACGUGACCCUCGAAAGAGAGGAUAAUUAAAGCUCUGUCGACAUCUGCUUUCAUCAAAGAAGAAACUGCUGCUAAUGUUUGCCACGGGCUCUGCUAAAAUCCCUCCGCCUCCAAACUCUACUCCUCAAGUCCUAAAGCAGCAGACGCUGUCUCCUGCAGAGGGAGCAAUGGUGAAGCUGUGCCAACAGAUGCUGAGAGCUGAGGGGGGUCUUCAGUCCCAACAGUGAUGAUAAAAAAGUUUCCUGGUUUCCUCUAGCGAAAAACAAAGUGCAAAGUCAUGUUUUGUUUAUUAUUAUUAUUAUUAUUAUUUUCUCAGAUUUCUGAGUUUAUUUCAAGGUUUGCAGUAUUUAAAAAUGAUACUUAGUGAUAGCGUGGAUUAUUUUAUCACACAUAUCUCUCAAAUCAUUCUGAUCACAAUUUAACAAUGUCACGACUAGGAGCACAGGGGGGCUCCAACCUGCAGUUGCAUCAUGGGUUCCUUAAACCCUUGUGGUGGUAUCAGACGUCCUGGUGAAGUCCCUAUCCACUUCCACACACACAAAACCUACACUUGAAUUGAAUUGAAUGCAUAUGUAUUUCCAACACACGAAAACAAAGCAAAACAAAACAAAACAAAAAGGUAGAUUAGUUUGACUAAUAAGGCAUAAUAAAAUGAAAAGCAUGAUACAAAAUAUAUUCCAUUAACAAGCACUGUCAUACACUUAUUCAGUCCUACUGCCACAACUCGGUAAUUAAUCAUAUUCAAUUUAUUUCUAUUCCUGAACAUGUGUACCUUUGUCCGCUCCCAUCUAACUAUAUACAAUUCGAUAUGCUAUAUGUACGAUUAAUAAUUCAAAUAUUAUAUAUAAAUAUAUCUACAUAUACACCCGUAUAUGCAAGCAGAGAGACAGGCCUGUAAUUUGUGAAGUGGUGUUUGUGUCUACAAUUUCGCUCUCUUCCACUGCUGUAAUACACUGAGUCAGGAUCAUUUUUGAUGAAAUCACCAUUUUUCUCUUCAGAUGUCACAGAAUCAGGGAUUUGUGCUGCCAGUUUUGGUCCAACACUUAAAAAGUAAUUAUUGAGGCCAUCAACUACAUCAUCCUUAAGAAUCAUAUCAUUAUCAACAAAAUACCAAUUAUAGUUAACUUGUCUAGAACCAUUUCAAAUAACAUUGUUUAAUAUAUUCAACAUACCUUUAACAUUGUUUUUGUUAUGAUUAUGAUUAUAGUUGCCAUAAUAUUCUGUCCUACUAAUUCUCACAAUCUUAACCUAUUUAUUAUAUUAUUUAUAUUUAUUUUCUGCCUCUUUGGUUCUAUGUUUUAUGAAUUCUCUAUGUAGUGUGUGUUUCUUUCUGCAGGCAUUUUGUAAACCAUAAGUGAUCCAUGGACUGUCUGAAUAGUUUUGGUCUUCAUUGAUUUGUCUUAUUGGGAUUUGAAUACCCAUAAGAAUAUUUCAUAUGCUUUGUCAAGGCCUUCUUCUUUGUAUAAUAUUUCCCAAUUUUGGUUUCAAUUUUGAUUCAUCUUUCAAACUGUGACUGACUCAUCUGUCCUCAAGUUUAAUGUCCUGCUUUUCCUCCUUGUUGUCACUGUCAAAGACUGUAAACAUUGGUAGGUGGUCACUGAUAUAAUCAAUCUGUAAUCCACUUAUUGCCUUGUUGUCUGUAACAUUAGUAAAUAUGUUGUCUAUCAGUGUGGCACAGAGAGAUGUAAUCCUGCUGGGUCUGGUGACUUUUAGCUUAAACUUUGAUUGCAGUUGUCCUUCUCUCUACCACCUUGGAAUUCAGGGGUUUUUUUCCACAUACACUCCUCCAGUCUUGUCCUCCCUAUUUAUGUAAUUCAGUUCAUAACAAUCUAAUUCAAAGUCCAUACAGCUCACGGGGUUGAUCCAAGUUUCUGAUAUUUCAGUGAUGUUAAAUGGUUGUGCAAACUGUUAUUCCCUAAAUGUUGUGGAAACUGUAUACAGGCAUCCACUGUUGAAAUUAAUUCCUGAAUGGAAUAGAAUAGAACAGAUCUUUAUUGUCAUUGUAUAUUGAACAACAAAAUUGAGAAGCAACUCCUUAUUAGUGCAAAUUAUAGAUAAAAACAUACAAAACAUAAGAACACUGACACUAGGAUAAAAUUAAUGAAUAAAAAAUAAACAUAAAUACCAAGCACACAACUCACAAGUCCCAUGUCAUACUCAUUAUAGUCAUGAGAUUAUUGCAUGCUGACAUACCACACACACAGUAAGUACUUAUAGUUUUUGUCUAUCUUGAUGCUGUGGUUGAACUGUUCACCUGUGUAAUAUGAUCAGCUGUUGAUAGGAUUUGUUUUUUUUCCAGAUUGAUAUUGUCUUCCAUUUCCUGGAAGCUGCUCAACAGGGUAUUCAAAUGUUUUUACUUUCACCUUAUCAUAGUCAGCGAUCUUCUGUGGCAUAUAUGAAUAAUUUCCAGCAGUAGAUGAAUGAUUUGUAUUUGAGUGUGUCAUGUUUGUAUAUUGUUUAUUUGAUCACCUGUGUUUGCUUACAAUAUAUAAAAACCUUACAGUCCA